GACGAACGCUGGCGGCGUGCUUAACACAUGCAAGUCGAGCGGAAAGGCCCUGCUUUUGUGGGGUGCUCGAGUGGCGAGCGGGUGAGUAACACGUGAGUAACCUGCCCUUGACUUUGGGAUAACUUCAGGAAACUGGGGCUAAUACCGGAUAGGAGAUCCUGCUGCAUGGGGGGGGAUGGAAAGUUUCGGCGGUUGGGGAUGGACUCGCGGCUUAUCAGCUUGUUGGUGGGGUAGUGGCUUACAAAGGCUGUGACGGGUAGCCGGCCUGAGAGGGUGGCCGGCCACAUUGCGACUGCGAUACGGCCCAGACGCCUACGGGAGGCAGCAGUGGGGAACAUGGCACAAUGGGCGGAAGCGUGAGGCAGCAACGCCGCGUGCGGGAUGACGGCUUUCGGGGUGAAAACCGAUGUCGACGGAGACGAAGCGAGAGUGACGGUAACGGGUAAAGAAGCACCGGCUAACUACGUG
rnacentral:rRNA from 1 species